UACGAAGGGGACUAGCGUUGUUCGGAAUUACUGGGCGUAAAGCGCACGUAGGCGGAUUUGUAAGUCAGGGGUGAAAUCCCGGGGCUCAACCUCGGAGCUGCCUUUGAUACUGCAAAUCUCGAGUCCGAUAGAGGUGGGUGGAAUUCCUAGUGUAGAGGUGAAAUUCGUAGAUAUUAGGAAGAACACCGGUGGCGAAGGCGGCCCACUGGAUCGGUACUGACGCUGAGGUGCGAAAGCGUGGGGAGCAAACAGG
rnacentral:rRNA from 1 species